AAAUUGAAGAGUUUGAUCAUGGCUCAGAUUGAACGCUGGCGGCAGGCCUAACACAUGCAAGUCGAACGGUAGCACAGAGAGCUUGCUCUCGGGUGACGAGUGGCGGACGGGUGAGUAAUGUCUGGGAAACUGCCUGAUGGAGGGGG
rnacentral:rRNA from 5 species